GCACUGCUGAGGAGUCCCACAAUAGGACAAAACGGCGGUCCAGUAC
rnacentral:hammerhead_ribozyme from 1 species